GAGAUUCAGGAGUUGAAAGUUCCUGGGUGAUCUUCUAGUUCCUGGUUUCCAGCCUCUCCAGCACUUAGUACUUCGGACAUCCCCUUGAAGAGGAGGGUGCACGCCCCCAGGAAUCUUAAAUAUUGACUUCCUGAUGGUGUGUUCACAUAUGAUUACCUGGCAAGGAGUGCCCCUCAUUGAGUACUAAGUGCAUCUAAUGACCUGAGCAGGUCAGACAUGUUUGGUACUGGAGAAGUGAGAAAGCUCUACUGAUUAUCCUUCAGGAUCUUUAAGCCACUCAGGAGGCCCCAGCAGGGUUUCUGGACACUGAACAGACUUACUCAGACUUCUCUUCUCACCAGGGGAGCACCUUUGGUGGGUCCUACUCAGUUUGUAGGAAUUCCUCAUUAUUAAGUAGUCUUCACUGAGAAGUUGCAACAGUGUACAUGAUUUGGGACUGUAACUUAAAACAUGAAGUCUUGGUUGUCCACUUUAAAAGAUCUUAGUGGAAUACUUUUAGCUCUUGCAUCUUGGGUUUGUGAAACUUGAGGGUUGGGGGGUAUUUGUGUUGGUGUGGAUUUCUUUGGGUGGGGAAGAGUCAGAAGUGGUGAAGGUCUUCCAACCUCUGGAGGCCACAGUUCCUCCUUUCCUAGGUGUCUUUUCAGAAGGAUGAUGUUCUGAGGAUUAUCUGUGUGUAAUGGGACAUUCUUAAAGUCGGUGACCAGGAGAGUUUUUGGAACUGUCCAUCAAUGACCUUAGAUUUGGCAUACAGGAUUGCCUGCAAAGAAAGCAAGGAAAUGUGUUCCCAAGACAUGGUAGCUAAAUAAACACAAGAACCAGAGUUAUAGACUUUGCAAUAAUCUAGGGAAAAGUAGGUCAAAUUGUGUUCCUAUUAUCCUUGACAGUUACUUUUUCAUGGCACAGAAUUCUGAA
rnacentral:lncRNA from 1 species